UUUGAUGCGGGUGCUAUACAUGCAAGUCGAGCGGACCGACGGGAGCUUGCUCCCUUAGGUCAGCGGCGGACGGGUGAGUAACACGUGGGUAACCUGCCUGUAAGACUGGGAUAACUCCGGGAAACCGGGGCUAAUACCGGAUGCUUGAUUGAACCGCAUGGUUCAAUCAUAAAAGGCGGCUUCGGCUGCCGUUUACAGAUGGACCCGCGGCGCAUUAGCUAGUUGGUGAGGUAACGGCUCACCAAGGCGACGAUGCGUAGCCGACCUGAGAGGGUGAUCGGCCACACUGGGACUGAGACACGGCCCAGACUCCUACGGGAGGCAGCAGUAGGGAAUCUUCCGCAAUGGACGAAAGUCUGACGGAGCAACGCCGCGUGAGUGAUGAAGGUUUUCGGAUCGUAAAGCUCUGUUGUUAGGGAAGAACAAGUACCGUUCGAAUAGGGCGGUACCUUGACGGUACCUAACCAGAAAGCCACGGCUAACUACGUGCCAGCAGCCGCGGUAAUACGUAGGUGGCAAGCGUUGUCCGGAAUUAUUGGGCGUAAAGCGCGCGCAGGCGGUUUCUUAAGUCUGAUGUGAAAGCCCCCGGCUCAACCGGGGAGGGUCAUUGGAAACUGGGGAACUUGAGUGCAGAAGAGGAGAGUGGAAUUCCACGUGUAGCGGUGAAAUGCGUAGAGAUGUGGAGGAACACCAGUGGCGAAGGCGACUCUCUGGUCU
rnacentral:rRNA from 1 species